rnacentral:rRNA from 1 species
ACGCUCGACACCUACGGGAGGAGCAGUGGGGAAUAUUGCACAAUGGGGGAAACCCUGAUGCAGCGACGCCGCGUGAAGGAAGAAGUAUCUCGGUAUGUAAACUUCUAUCAGCAGGGAAGAAAGUGACGGUACCUGACUAAGAAGCCCCGGCUAACUACGUGCUAGCAGCCACGGUAAUCUGAGCGGGCUGGCAAGGC